CAACCCUUGAUCACAUGACAUACAGUAACCAAUAAAUAGCCAACAGGAAGACAUUCAUCAAACACACAUGGGGAAACACUUGCUGCACAGGCACCCACUACCACUGCUACGACUGGGAGCACAACCUAGGAGCAUUUCAUGUAUUAUAUAUUGAACGGAACUGGCCAGUUUUUUGGUACAGAACAAUGAUGGUGAGCUAAGUGAAGGAGGCCUAGAGCCAGGACCGGCUUGGACUCCACGUGAAUGACCUGACGACCCACUUGCUCCUUCAGGGCGGGCAGGAGGUUGAUUUCACUGCAGCCAACCUGAACUGUUCCCUCAAUUUUUUCCCCCUUUUGGUCUGUACCUCUCACACUAGAGGUUCUCACCACCAAGACUCAAUGGACUGGUUAUUAUCAGCUGAAAGAAACCAUUGUGAAUCUCACACAUUGCAUACCUUGUAUAUUCUUGUUGUAAAUAGCACCCACUGAAUGGCCAUUCAAUCAC